rnacentral:lncRNA from 10 species
UGAAACCAAGUCAGCCCUGUCGCCAGGGCAUCUCCUGUCUUCUGUUCUGAUGAACAUUAGCGUCACCUCCUCACGGAAGCCUCCCCUGACUCUGAGAGAGAUCUUCACAGUCCCAGGACACCUUAUCUAUACCUGUGUCAUGACACUAACUGCAUUCAGCCUUUUGUUGCAAGCAUUUACAUUCCUAUCUCCUCUUCCUCUGGAACUAAGUGCAGGGCCAGAGACUUAGUAUUCUUGUGUCCUUCUAGGGCAGCUACGACAGUGCCUGGUGCUUGGGGAGUGCUUGACAGAUUCAGGUUGAAGAAACAAAGGCAGGUACAGGCAAGGAAGGGAAUGAGGGGACCGAGGAAGGUCGGAAUGGCCCUGCUGGUCAUCAGGACUUGUGGACCCACUGCCGCCUGCCCUACUAUCCCCCACAUCGUCCAUCCCCCAGGCUCCAACAUGGCCCAGUGGGGUCCCAGACACAUUCGGGGGGCGGGCAGUGGGCGGCGUUUCAGUCUGGGAGGAGGCCUUUUCCCAGGCCCUGUGGACCUCCCCACCGGCGGGAAGCGAUCUUGCCAGGUGAUCCUACCGGAUCGCAUCUGCAGAACUACAACUGAGCCGCUCUCUCGGGUGAUUUGUGUCUCAAAACCACGCCAAGGCUGUAAAUCAGGUGGUAGGAAGCUCUGUCUCCUGUUUUCCUGCUCAGCCAGACGGAGACAGAAUGUACUGCCACCGGCUCCCAAAUCUGGAAAACCAAGUCUGAUUUAAGAGGAGAUGUUUUAGCAGACAUUAGCUCAGGUCAGGGCUGGGGAGCAGGGUCUCUUGCCUCUCCCUUCCUGCUCCGAAGGAGAAGGAAACAGCCACCUCCUCCCCAGCUGGGGGCUGAGUGGGUGGAGAACCUGAAAGGCAGGUGCCUAACAAGCCCUGGGGUUCGGUAGCAGCUGCUUAGAGCUCCUCCCCGGGAGGCUCCGGAGGGGAAUUUUCCACUGCCCCGUUCAAUUUACCAGGACAAUUUAGCUCAGCUAUACCGCGGCCUUGACUAUUUACAGUGGGGAGCGCAGGGCGGUGGAGGAGCCCUCUAAGAGUCCGUGCAAGAGGGCCGCGGCCCAGCUAGAAGGGUCUGCAGGGGGCAAGGAUGUCUGAGAUGCCCAGCGUGGGUGAGUGCACCCUCCCUCCCUGGCUCUGCUCCUCCCCCUCCCCGGAACCACCACCCCCUCAGCCCUGAGCUGCCGAUGCCCUCGGGGUUCUGUUUUCAUUCCAGGCUGUGGAUCCGGUCGUGGGAAGCAGGUUUCUGUACCUUGACCCUCCAUAGAGUGAACUUCUAGGUUCUGAGCUGACUCCUUGGAAACCCUAGACUCCAGGGACGCGCUUCUAGAACCUGCUCAGAUUGCUACUCAGUUAACAGCCUGGCCCAGGAGGAUUGCAACACCCAGCCUGGCUCCCAGGCAAGCUAAAGAGGGCUUGAUGAUGGGAAGAGGUUAAGGGGUACGUGGAGAGAAAGAAGGAUCAGAAGGCGGAAACAUCAUAGACCUCCUGGGAUGCCUUCUGCAGGAUCACAGAGAAGGCAAAAUUUGUCCUCCUGACUACAAGAUGCCAAGAUACAUUUGUAUCGAGCCACUGAAUUCUCUACCCCUUCUGUAGAGGUGGUUGGGGAAGAGCUGCAGUAGGAAGCUGGGUCCCAAGUAAUGAAGGACCUUUAGAAGCAGAAGGUGUUAGGGUGGGGGCAAAGGACUGAACUCUGACCAACCAGAAGAAAGGAAAAACUGGAGUUCCUUUCCCCUAGGUCUGCCUUUCUUUCUCAGGGUCUCUAUUUACUUCUCAUGCACUUGACUCUCUGCUUCCCUCUCCCUCAUUUCCACAAAGGGGCCCAAGCUUCACAUGCAUCUCGCACCCCCGCACCUUGUGGGCAGGAAAUCUGAGCACAGGCAUUUCCUGUACGCUGAUAAAUGCCCACUGCAAAGAGCCCCAGCCUGAAGGUGGCCCUGUCUCCUAGUUAUGUCCCUCCACAUCCUUAUCUCCCCAGGCUCCAGCCCUCACCAGCAGGGACUCAACAAACGCCAUCUGUCAGAUGAGUCAUGGGACCAGAAGCUUGGGAGAAGACAUGCAGAGCCAACCACUAACAAAACUGGCAAAUGAAAUAAAUGCCCAGAAACCUGCUCCAUCCCCAGCAUUCCUUAAGUCCUAUAAAUUGCACCACCUUUUACCAGUUUUCAGAAACUAAAAGUCAUCCUUGACAUCCGUCCAAUCAAUCACCUCCUAUUUAUCUCCCAAAUUCAUUCUUUUUUCUUUUUGAAACAGAGUUUUUACUCUUGUUGCCCAGGCUGAAGUGCAAUGGCACGAUCUCAGCUCCCUGCAACCUCCGCCUCCCAGGUUCAAGCCAUUCUCCUGCCUCAGCUUUCCUGAGUAGCUGGGAUUACAGGCAUGCGCCACUACGCCUGGCUAAUGUUGUAUUUUUAGUAGAGAUGGGGUUUCUCCAUGUUGGUCAGGCUGGUCUUGAAUUCCCAACCUGAGGUGAUCCACCCACCUUGGCCUCCCAAAGUGCUGGGACUACAGGUGUGAGCCAUUACACCCGGCAAAUUCAUUUUUAUAAUCUUGCCACCCCCACAACCACUGCCCUCAUGGACCCUGGGCACGCCUCACCCGAAUUACAGAAAUUCCCUCCCAGCUGGUAAAACUGUUUGUGUGUGGCUCUCCUUCAUUCCAUCCUCCCUGGUUUAGCCAGAGAAAUAAUUCUAAAAUGUACACAUCCCAAAGCAUCUCAUUUUCCUGCAUGCAGUCUUUCAUCAUCCAUUCACUAACUGGAGGACAACAUCUGAAUUUAUUAGUGAGCAUACAAAGGCUUUUCAUCCGCUGAACCCAGCGCAUCUGCUACCAUUUCCCUGGUCUCCGGUCAGAACUAGUGACUGUCCCAUAAACAGGUUCUGCUGGACUUCCAGUCAAGAUGGAGCGGCUGGUCUCCAACUUCUGGCUGCAAGUGAUCCUCCCUCCUUGGCCUGGCAAAGUGCUGGGAUUACAGGGCCGCACACAUACAGAGCUGAACUUGUAUCGCCGUGUAGAUGAAGACAAACACCUUUAGGAGAUGGCAGAGAAACAAAAUGGGAAACCCUCAGGUCUCCAAAUGACUACACCAAGCAGAAUUGCCCCACCAGCCUGCACCAUUCAUUUCUAGACUAUGAGCAAGAAGUACACUUCCAUCUUAUUUAAACAACCAUAUUUGGGGUUUUUGUUGUUGUUAUUGUUGUUGUUAUAGGAGCUUAGCUUUUACUCUAAGAAAUACAGCUACUCAACUCACUUCAUUAGGAUCUUAACUAUAAUAUCAAAACCUCCUAAGCACAGAAUAAAAAAUACAGUAGAGCAAUAUCAUUUAUGAUCAUAGAUGCAGAGCUUCCAAAUGAAAUACUAGCAUAUUCAAGGAAAGAUAUAUAUACCAUGACCUAGUUGUGUUUAAUUUCUGGAAUUCAAAAAUGGAAUGUUUGACAUAAGAAAAUCUAUUAGGCCGGGCGCGGUGGCUCACGCCUGUAAUCCCAGCACUUUGGGAGGCCGAGGCAGGCAGAUCACGAGGUCAGGAGAUCGAGAUCAUCCUGGCUAAUACGGUGAAACCCCGUUUCUACUAAAAAAUACAAAAAAAAAAUAUUAGCUGGGAGUGGUGGCGGGCGCCUGUAGUCCCAGCUACUUGGGAGGCUGAGGCAGGAGAAUGGCGUGAACCCGGGAGGCAGAGCUUACAGUGAGCUGAGAUCGUGCCACUGCACUCCAGCCUGGGUGACAGAGCGAGACUCUGUCUCAAAAAAAAAAAAAAAAAGAAAAAAGAAAACAGUUUGGCAGUUCCUCAAAAAGUUAAACAUAGGAUGUUUGAAAAUUUAAACGUAAUAUGACCUAGCAAUUCAACCCCAGGUAUACAACCAAGAGAAUUGAAAACAGGUGUUCAAACAAAAACUUGUACAGGAUUGCUCAUAGCAGCAUUAUUUAUAAUAGCCAAAAGGAAGAAACUACUCAAAUGUCCAUCAGCUGAUGAAUGGAUAAACAAAAUAUGGUGUAUUUCUACAAUGGACUAUUAUUCAAUCAUAAAAAAUGAAAUGCUGAUAAAUGCCAAAAUUGACGAACUUUUAAAACAUGCUAAGUGGCUGGGUGGGGUGGCUCUAGUCCGUAAUCCCGGCAUGUUAAGAGGCCGAGGUGGGCGGGUCACUUGAGCCUGGGAGGUCGAGGCUGCAGAGAGCUGAGAUCGCGCUACUGCACUCUAGCCUGGGUGACAGAGCAGACCCUGUCUCAGAAAGAAAAGAAAAAACAGAAAAGAGAAAGAAGACAGGAGAGGAGAGAAGGGGAGGGGAGGGGAGGGGAAUGGAGAGGGGGAGGGGAGGGGAGGGGAAGGGGGAGGGAAGGGGAGGGGAGGGGAACAUCCUGGCCGGGUGCAGUGGCUCACGCCUGUAAUCCUAGCACUUUGGGAGGCCAAGGUGGGCGGAUUGCCUGAGCUCAGGAGUUCGAGACCAGCCUGGGCAACACGGUGAAACCCCGUCUCUACUAAAAUACAAAAAAAUUAGUUGGGCGUGGCGAUGUAUACCUGUAGUCCCAGCUACUCAGGAUGCUGAGGCAGAAGAAUUGCUUGAACCCAGGAGGUUGAGGUUGCAGUGACGCGAGAUUGCACCACUGCACUCCAGCCUGGGUGACAGAGUGAGACUCUCUCCCAAAAAAAAAAAAAGAAAAGAAAAGAAAAGAACAUGCUAAGUGAAAGAAGCCAGAGAAAAAAAGGCAACACAUUGUAUUAUUCCAUUUAAUGAAAUAUCCAGGAUAAACAAAUCCAUAGAAAUGAAGAGCAGCUGAGGGGUUGCUGGGGCUAGGGACGGGGGGGAUAUCAGGAAUGACUGCUUCAUGGGUACAGAGUUUUCAGGUGAUGAAAUCUUCUAGAAUUAGAUAAUAGUGAUGGUUGCACAACAUUAUGAAAAUACCAAAAACCACUGAACUGUACACUUUAAAAUUGUUAAAAUGGUGAAUUUUAUAUUAUGUGACAAUUUUGUAAAAGAAUUCUAUAUCCAAUGAAAAUAUUCUUCAAGAAUGAGAGGGAAAUAAAGGCGUUCUCAAGUGAAAAAUCAAGAGAAUUUGUCAUUAGUAGACUUGUUGUAAAAUAAAUACUAAAGAAAGUUCUUCAAACGGAAGAAAGAGGAUACCUGAAAGAAAUUUAGAACAUCAAGAAUGAAGACAGAGAAACAAAAAUGGUAAAAAUCUGGUUAAAUAUAAUAGACUAUUUUUAUCUUAAAUUCUUUAUAAUAUGUAUAUGUUGGGGCUCAGAAAACAACACCUCAAAAGUAUGGCGCUUUGGUAUGCUGAACACUUUGAACUAAAAUAGAAAGGACUUAGAAGCUACCUCAGAAUAAGGCCUUUCUGGCCUCAUCUGUUUCUAUCGCCUAGAGACUUCUAGAGACUUCUGGAGUCUCUAUCCCCCUAGAGACUUCCCCUAGAAUUUCCUUAUCUGACUAAGGAAACUUCUUUCCAAAAGAAAUGCAAUUGUCUUAAGAUCCCCUUCCUAGGAAUCUCAUCAAAUAAUCAGAAAAGAUUAACCACCAGAGAAGAAUGGAGACUAAAGUCAGAUGACUCUUCAUCUAGUCCUCUGAGGCAGUGCCAAGAGAUAACCUGGGAGGCUUUAUCUACCAGGUUAAGUUUCACCCCUCACCUUCCGGUAACUUGCUGGCGUCGUUUAGUUUCCUAGGAGAAUCAUUUACAAGAUAAUGUCUGAGCCUCCUGGGCCCAUUCAUUUCCCCUAAAAAUCAUUAACAACCCCUGCAUUUUCCCCAUCUCCCUCUUCCCUAUGAAGCAGAUAUAUAAGCCUCAAUCAUCUGGCCCUUUGGGUCUCAUAUUUAAUAUUGUACCCAUGUUUUUGUAUGUUAAUAAAUUUAUAUGCCUUUUUCUCCUAUUAAUCUGUGUAUUGUCAGUCAUUUUAGCA